rnacentral:sRNA from 1 species
GAAGGGUCCGGCAUGCCGGCCGGCUGGCCGUCCGGGCGAUGUUGGUGGAGAUACGCAAAAAUUGCGACGUUAUUUAAAAACGAUACGUUUCAGAUGUUGAAGAUUCACAAGGCAUUUGGACGGCAGACGACAUGGAACAGCUCACACAGAAAUCGGCAACAAAAAAGCUUAAUGGAUGACAAUAACAACAACAACAAGAAAGCUAGAGAAAACGUUGAAAAAAAAAUAAAAACAAAAUUUGCAAAUAAAACCGCAACCGGUCGGUCUGUCGGUCGCUCACUCGCUCGGUCUAAUGUUAAAAAAUUGUAAAUUAAUAAAAGCCAGCAGCGGCAGCAGCAACAACAAUGUGGACCUGCGAUCGCACGUUCACUCACACACACACACAUGAACUCGGCUAAGUACACAUGUGCCACCAUAAACAGCAUAGAAAGCAACAACAACAAUAAGAAU